UUCUAAAAUAGCAUUUUGGUUUUUAACUCGGAUGCCAAUUAAGAAGUGACUUUUCCGACUGUUGAAAGCAACAAGUGGAGGCGCCCCUGCAGCAGCUGUGACUCUAAAUUGUGGUGGCUAGUGAUACAGAAUGAGAUGGACUAGCCCCACAAAAGACAUCACCAGAUAGAGAUGGGAAAAAAGAGCAGUCAGUUGUAUCUGUUUCUCCUAGAGCCUCAAAAUGUCAUUAUUCACCAUCACAAUCAAGGUCAAGAGAAAGAAAACGAAAGUCAGGUAAUGAAGGAAGAAAACACAGCAGCCAGAGCAGAAGCAAAGAAGUAAUAAAACAUGAAUCCAAAGAUAAAUCCUCUAAGAAACACAAGUCUGAGGAACAUAAUGACAAAGAACAUUCUUCUGAUAAAGAAAGAGAGCAACUAAAUUUAUGUGAAAAUGGUGAGGACAAGCACAAAUGCUAAGAAAGUCAUCAAGAGGCAGAAGUUACUCAAGAUCUAGGUCUCAUGAAAGAUUCCAUCAUAGUAGAAGCAGGAAGCAGAAGAGGUCUCAAUCCAGGAGUAGGGGGUGGAAGAAGUCUCGAUCUAGAAGCAGAGAGAGGAAGAAAUCAAGAUUCAGAAACAGGAAAAGAAAACGGCAGGUCAGGUCUCAUUCCUGCUCAAGAUCGAGACACAGCCAUAGGACUAGAAGCAGGAGUAGAACAAGGAGUAGGAGUUAAGAGACAAAGAAGAGAACUGAAAAGCCAAGAAGAUUUAGCAGAAUUCGUAUGCCUUCUUCU